GAGCAAUGAUGAAAAGGUUUUACUACUGACCUUUAUAACUAUUAAGAUUUCUACACUUGAUCUGAGGUCA
rnacentral:snoRNA from 1 species